CCCGGUGUCAGAUUUCUCUGGAGCUGCCGGCCCCUGCCGACCCCUCACCCCUCACCCCUCCCUCCUCCCUGAACCCAGACACAGGGAAAGGGGGGGAGUAUUUCCUGGGGGGAUGGACCCCUGAGAAUGAGUAAGUACUGGGCGCCAGAUAGCUCAGCAGGAGAGGACAGGCCUUGGAGAUUUUUGACUGGUGUCUGGGGAGAAGGCCCUGCUGCUUUAUCCUCACUGUGCUGCUCCAGAUGGACUCUGAGGAUGUGACCAGCCACAUGGGCUGGCAGGGGCAAAGUGCUGAGGCUGGGUCAGCCCACAU